GAUGAACGCUGGCGGCGUGCCUAAUACAUGCAAGUCGAGCGAACAGAUGAGGAGCUUGCUCCUCUGACGUUAGCGGCGGACGGGUGAGUAACACGUGGAUAACCUACCUAUAAGACUGGGAUAACUUCGGGAAACCGGAGCUAAUACCGGAUAAUAUAUUGAACCGCAUGGUUCAAUAGUGAAAGACGGUUUUGCUGUCACUCAUAGAUGGAUCCGCGCCGCAUUAGCUAGUUGGUAAGGUAACGGCUUACCAAGGCAACGAUGCGUAGCCGACCUGAGAGGGUGAUCGGCCACACUGGAACUGAGACACGGUCCAGACUCCUACGGGAGGCAGCAGUAGGGAAUCUUCCGCAAUGGGCGAAAGCUUGACGGAGCAACGCCGCGUGAGUGAUGAAGGUCUUCGGAUCGUAAAACUCUGUUAUUAGGGAAGAACAAAUGUGUAAGUAACUAUGCACGUCUUGACGGUACCUAAUCAGAAAGCCACGGCUAACUACGUG
rnacentral:rRNA from 1 species